rnacentral:rRNA from 1 species
GACCUCAAAUCAGGUAGGGCUACCCGCUGAACUUAAGCAUAUCAAUAAGCGGAGGAAAAGAAACUAACAAGGAUUCCCCUAGUAGCGGCGAGCGAAGCGGGAUGAGCUCAAAUUUGUAAUCUGGCGUCCCCAGGGCGUCCGAGUUGUAAUCUACAGAAGCGUUUUCUGUGCCGGACCGUGUCCAAGUCCCUUGGAACAGGGUAUCAAAGAGGGUGACAAUCCCGUGCUUGACACGACGACCGGUGCUCUGUGAUACGCUCUCUACGAGUCGAGUUGUUUGGGAAUGCAGCUCAAAAUGGGUGGUAAAUUCCAUCUAAGGCUAAAUAUUGGCGAGAGACCGAUAGCGAACAAGUACCGUGAGGGAAAGAUGAAAAGCACUUUGGAAAGAGAGUUAAACAGUAUGUGAAAUUGUUGAAAGGGAAACGAUUGAAGUCAGUCGUGCCGGGAGGAUUCAGCCGGCCCCGCCGGUGUACUUCCUCCCGACGGGUCAACAUCAGUUUUGCCCGGCGGAUAAGGGUGGCGGGAAGGUAGCACCCUCGGGUGUGUUAUAGCCCGCUAUCGCAUACGCUGGUCGAGACUGAGGAAUGCAGCUCGCCUUCAUGGCCGGGGUUCGCCCACGUACGAGCUUAGGAUGUUGACGUAAUGGCUUUAAACGACCCGUCUUGAAACACGGACCAAGGAGUCUAACAUAUCUGCGAGUGUUUGGGUGUCAAACCCGGGCGCGCAAUGAAAGUGAACGUAGGAGGGAUCCGCAAGGAGCACCUUUGACCGAUCUGGAUCUUCUGUGAUGGAUUUGAGUAAGAGCAUAUAUGCUGGGACCCGAAAGAUGGUGAACUAUGCCUGAAUAGGGCGAAGCCAGGGGAAACUCUGGUGGAGGCUCGUAGCGAUUCUGACGUGCAAAUCGAUCGUCAAAUUUGGGUAUAGGGGCGAAAGACUAAUCGAACCAUUUGUGUGCUACUGGUGGUCGAGAGGGCGAUGACCCUAGUUACUUUGUUGGCAAGACUGUCAAAUUGCGGGGACGUCCUAAAGCUCUACAACACGAAGCCGAUGUGCGAAAGUCGUCGGUGGCCGGGGUAAUGACCCUUGGGUAGCGUAAAAGCGUGUAGAGAUGUCACAAUGGAUAAUCCGCAGCCAAGCCCUAAGGGAUUCCUAUGGGUGCAGUUCACAGACUAAAUGGCAGCCGGUCCUACGGGGCUUAAGAUAUAGUCGGUCCCCUGGUGCGAACCAGGUGUUGACGGAAGCCUGACGGCCCGAG